rnacentral:rRNA from 1 species
AUUGAACGCUGGCGGCAUGCCUUACACAUGCAAGUCGAACGGCAGCACGGGAGCAAUCCUGGUGGCGAGUGGCGAACGGGUGAGUAAUAUAUCGGAACGUGCCCAGUCGUGGGGAUAACGUAGCGAAAGCUACGCUAAUACCGCAGUACGAUCUAUGGAUGAAAGCGGGGGAUCGCAAGACCUCGCGCGAUUGGGAGCGGCCGAUAUCAGAUUAGGUAGUUGGUGAGGUAAAGGCUCACCAAGCCGACGAUCUGUAGCUGGUCUGAGAGGACGACCAGCCACACUGGGACUGAGACACGGCCCAGACUCCUACGGAGGCAGCAGUGGGGAAUAUUGGACAAUGGCGCAAGCCUGAUCCAGCAAUGCCGCGUGCAGGAU